UACGAAGGGGGCGAGCGUUGUUCGGAUUUACUGGGCGUAAAGGGCGCGCAGGCGGCUCAUUUUGUCAGGCGUGAAAGCCCCGGGCUUAACCUGGGAACUGCGUUUGAUACGGAUGGGCUAGAGUUCGGGAGAGGAGAGUGGAAUUCCCAGUGUAGAGGUGAAAUUCGUAGAUAUUGGGAAGAAUACCUGUGGCGAAGGCGGCAACCUGGUCCGUGACUGACGCUGAGGCGCGAAAGCGUGGGGAGCAAACAGG
rnacentral:rRNA from 1 species